rnacentral:rRNA from 1 species
CCUACGGGAGGCAGCAGUGGGGAAUCUUGGACAAUGGGCGCAAGCCUGAUCCAGCCAUGCCGCGUGAGUGACGAAGGCCUUAGGGUUGUAAAGCUCUUUUGGCGGGGACGAUAAUGACGGUACCCGCAGAAUAAGUCCCGGCUAACUUCGUGCCAGCAGCCGCGGUAAUACGAAGGGGACUAGCGUUGUUCGGAAUUACUGGGCGUAAAGCGCACGUAGGCGGAUGUGUCAGUCAGGGGUGAAAUCCCGGGGCUCAACCUCGGAACUGCCUUUGAUACAGCACGUCUUGAGUCCGAUAGAGGUGGGUGGAAUUCCUAGUGUAGAGGUGAAAUUCGUAGAUAUUAGGAAGAACACCGGUGGCGAAGGCGGCCCACUGGAUCGGUACUGACGCUGAGGUGCGAAAGCGUGGGGAGCAAACAGGAUUAGAUACCCCUGUAGUC